rnacentral:lncRNA from 1 species
CCCAUCCCCCCCCCCGCCCCCUCUCCCGCCGGCUCCUUUGUCUGCAGGCGGGGGCUGUGGGGCGGGGGUUGUGGGGCGGCGGCGCGGGCGCCCCCUCGGCGAAGCGGUGGGCACCGUCCCCCGCGGGCCCGGCGUCCGGCCAGGUCCCUCGGGCCCCUGCUGCCCGCGAUCGCCACUGAGCCUCCUGUGCCAGCUGAUGGGCUUCAACCCGCCGCUGCCAGUGCGUCCCUGGCGGGAGCAGGACGGGGUCUUGGGCAGUCUUUGGCGCUCGAAUUUGUGCCUGCUUGGGAGGGGUCUGCGCACCUGGAUCCUAGUACACCUGCUGGCCCCAAGGCCCUCGAGCGGAAGGCGACGACAGGAAUCAGUUCCCUUCCUGAAGGGCCAAGUGGGGAACACCUUGAGAGCCUGCCGUCGUUCUCCGGCUCUUCCGAGGUGGGGUCUGGAGCCCGAUAUGUGGGCCCAGUAGAUGGGACCAGGCUGUGCCCAUCAUGUCACUGACCACUGACCCGUUCCUCAGCCUCCUUGGGAUUGGGUCUGACCAGGAUCUGCCUGCCCUGCGCUGGAGGCUUUUGGACAGGAGAAAAGGAAGGACCUCCAGAGGUCACCUGGAAGAGCCUUUGAAGGCCGUGCCCCUCUCCCACACAGCUCCUUUGGGGGCACGCACACACACUCCCACCAGAAAAGACACCAAGGAAGACCAUUAUUUUCUGCCACCUUCCUUUGUCCAGCUGGCUGUGGGGCAUGGACCAGGAAAUGCCUGGACUCCCUCACUCCACAAGCCAGGAGCAACCCAGGUGGGGAGCCAGAACUUUCAGGUCCCCAUUGGAGGUCCCAAGAGAGCCCUGAGCUCUCAGCCCUUUCAGGCUGAGAGGUCUCUGGGAGGGAGGGAAAGUGAGGCUCACCCACCCGAACCAGACUCCCUUCCAGAGUCAGAUGGGUUGCAGGGAAGGGGGUGCUGCGUCAACAUGAAGAUGUGGCCACAAGUGGUCUUCUGAGUUUUGAAGCCAGGAGCAAACUGAACAGGACAAGGGCGUGUGCCCAGAGUGACACCAUGCUGGGAUGGCAGUACCAAAGGCAGGGAUUUGUGUGGACUGCUUUAUUUUUCUCUGUAUGUUAUAGUUCUUAUUCCCUACAGGCAUUGAUGUCAAAAGUGUUUAUCUUUAAGGAAAUAAAGAGAAGCUAACCAAGGGACCCCAGAACCCCUGGAGCAGGGCUGCUAUCAAGUGGCCUGAGGUCAGUAGAAGGCAGGGUCUUAUUCAGUCCUUUGCAGAGACUGACUUUCCUAUAGACCCUGGGCACAAGGCCACACUGGUUAGUGACCAUCUUGUCCCCAGGGUCUCCUAAAAGGUCUGAAUGCCUGGGCGUCAGCGGUCAAGGAGGGCCGGUUGGAGAACCCCAUCCAGCCUGCAGCCUGUGCCAAGAGCUCCUCAGGGUCAUCUUGUGCGUCCCUCUUGCUCGGACCUUGUGGUGCUCUGUUCAGUGCAGCUCCCAUCACCCCAACUCCACCACCUUUUGGGGGAGGUACCCCAGGAGAAGGAGCAGGCUGGGACCCCUGGGCUGCCUGGCUUUCUGGUUUUCAUUCAGUUCCCACUUUUAUUUUUCUACUUUACCCGUUUAAUUAUGGAGUUAAACCAGGUGCUGCGGGACUCCCCCUCUGUCAGCCACAUUACAGCACGGGAGGUGACUGUCUCUUCUAGAGUCUGUGACUCUGAAUUCCAUCAAGGAUGGUAACAACAGGCUUGUUAAAGCUGUUCCUUCUUCCACCCGAGGAAGGGGCUCACCUGGACAAAGACAUGCAGGAGCUGGGGAGGGGGGGCUGGGCAUCAAGAGGAGGCCCAACCCUCCACCCCAAGGGGCCUGGAAGCGAGCGAACAUCUGUCUGUGUACAACAAUCAAGUUCUAUUUUUGUAAUUAAAAAUACAUUCAAAGGAAAAAGGAAACAAAAAGAACAAUCUUUGGUGUCCGUUGCUGCAGAAAGCUGAAGUUGGGGGUGGGGGUGCUGGAACCAGAAGGUGGGCUGUGCUCAUCUUGGACAGGUUUCCUGGGCUACUCUAGUACCCCGAAUCCUGCUUACACAGGAGUGGGACUCCACUUAUAGAAAGUGGUGAGCUCUAGGGUCCCCUGCCUGGCCCCUGCCAAGCAGUACGCCCGUUCAUCUCUUGUGACUCUCCAGAUCCCACGCAGCAAGCGUAUGACCCCAGCUGUUUGCUCUCCUCUGAGCCCCCGGAAAGACCACAGUCCCCAGUCCUCUGUGUCCAUUUUGGCCAGGAAUCGGUUCGCUUCCAGGUGUGGCUGUCCAGAAUAUCAGAGCAGUCCUUCUGCCCCCUCUGCUGGCCAGAUGGGGACCUGGGGACAGCUGCAAGGCUCCGGAGCAGCCCCUAGAGGGGCGGGCCAUCGAUGCCACGGCAGGCACACCCACGUUACCUGGGGCGUGGGGGUGGGGUGGAGUGAGGAGUAGACUUCAAGUGCAUCUCCAGCUGCUGAGGGUCAGGCCUUUUGGUCUCUGGGCUGGCAUCACAGGGCAGGCAUACAUUCCAGCGGCAUGGUCAGCUGGGGAGACAAGUUGCGGAGAAGUAAAACCUUGCUCCAGAGCCCAGGCAGUCAAGGCAUGGCACCCCCAGGCAGCCCAGUUCUCUCUCCCGGCUCUUGGACCUGAUCCCUGGGCUGUGGUGCAGGCAAGCUCCAGAUGCAGCCCCAGAUCCAGCCCCACCCCACCCUCCUGGAGUGUGGUUCUUAGGGGAGACUGGGGCAGUUAAACCUGCUCAGUUCCCCCAGGCGCCACCCACGUGCCAGUCCUUACAACACCUCCAUGUCUGUCAGUCCCUGUUGUGGGCCCAUCUUUCAGCUUCAAGAAGCUCUCAGCGUACUCUUCUGCCAUUGAGCGGCAGAGCUGCAGACCCAGAAGAUCCGUACUGCGGCCUCCUGCUGCCCCCUGGUGUCCGGCCUCUGCACCAGCACCUCACCUGGCCCCUGGGUCCCCCUUCUCUGUGGGCUAUGUCCUGGCAUGAUCACACACCCCACCAAGAAUGUGUGCUGCAACUGGCUUCCCAGGGGAGGGAUGGCUGUCCCAGAGCCUCAGGGAAUCCAAAGUCUGGAAACAUGGGGCAAUUGGCCUGGGGGCCCUUCCAGGGGGUGACCAAGGAUGGGGCUGGGACUUCACCCUCCUCUCUGACCCUUGGUCAAACCUGCCUCAGGCUGGUUCCCUGGAUCCCGAGACCCUGAGCUGUCUUUUCAAAUAAAUUAAGGCCUUGAAGAAUUUUCCACCAAGCCACUGGCCACAUGUCAGCCAUCCAUCACAGAAGGCUGAAGACUGCAGGCGCCAGGUCAAGGCAAAAGAGAGAAGGCCAGGGGACGAGGCGUCUCACACCACUGCUUCUGCAAGCCCACUGGGGGGCCAAGCACCUGCCCAAUGGCGGACAUCCUGCAGUUCCCCAAGGGUCCUGCACAGUGUGCCCUGGGGCUGCCCACGACUCCUACCCAGGUGGUGGUGCCCUUCCGAGGAGGCUGGAGGCACAUGAUAAAUGAGGCAAUCCCUAGCUGCCCCAAUCCAGUGCCCGCUCAGGACCCUGCCUUGGCCCUUUAAUCCUUCCACUACUGGACAGGAGGAAGGCCUUUUCAUACCUGUUCUGCAAAGGAGGAGACAGAGGCUCAGGGAAAUUAAGCUAACUGCCUGAGAUCUCGAGGCGGCGCUGCGACUGGAGGUGGGACCUGCCUUUCCUGUGCUGCGACCCUCUCCUGGGCUUCUGUGAGCAAGGGUCCUGGUAGACCUCGGCUGACAGGCCCCCAUCCAAGCCCUGGAGCCAGGGGUAGACAACAGUACAGUGUAGCCUCUGUCCAGGGUCGGCUGGCCCGGGAAGGACCACGUCUUUGGCCUCAAGCUGCAUCACUCGGCAGCCUGUGCCUGGAUCAGGCCCGGCUCCUCUCUGCCCCCCGAGCCUGCACCUUCUGCUUCCUAACCCGGGUGGGAGUCGGCCGGCGCGGAGGCCCAGGGGUGUGGGGAGUUACAGAUUAACCCGCCGGCCCCCAGCAGCAGGCAGCGCCGGGCGCGCACUUGGCGGGGGCCCAGGCCAGGCGCCGCGCAAACGUCCCUCCCGCACCAGUUCCCGCGCUCGGCUCGCCCCGCCCCCAGCACGGGCUGUUCUCG